CGAACGGGACCUCCAGGGCGCCGGCCAGGAGCGGCGCGGACCCGUUGCCCAGCAGGAGAAAUUAUUACCCAUUCACACCUGAAUCAUGAAGCAAAUAGCUGAUGAAUAUUGGAGUCUGCUGGUAGGAUACAUGCAUGCUCAAGCUGGAACUCAAGACUUCUGUGACUUCAUGCUCUUUAAUGGAAAAAACCCCUAAUAAUUUACACUGGAAGGAUGCAGAGGAGCAACAGAC